rnacentral:rRNA from 1 species
ACCUGACUGCUAUCGGAUUGAUACUAAGCCAUGCAAGUCUUUGUAGUAAUACAAGGCAUACGGCUCAGUAACGCGUAGUCAACCUACCCUAUGGAUAAGGAUAAUCUCGGGAAACUGAGCAUAAUACUCAACAGAUCAUCAAUUCUGGAAUGGUUGAUGAUUCAAAUGAUUUUUCGCCAUAGGAUGGGACUGCGACCUAUCAGCUUGUUGGUGAGGUAAUGGCCCACCAAGGCUAUUACAGGUACGGGCUCUGAGAGGAGAAGCCCGGAGAUGGGUACUGAGACAAGGACCCAGGCCCUAUGGGGCGCAGCAGGCGAGAAAACUUUGCAAUGUGCGAAAGCACGACAAGGUUAAUCCGAGUGAUUUCUGCUAAAGGAAUCUUUUACCAGUUCUAAUAAUACUGGCGAAUAAGGGGUGGGCAAGUUCUGGUGUCAGCCGCCGCGGUAAAACCAGCACCUCAAGUGGUCAGGAGGAUUAUUGGGCCUAAAGCAUCCGUAGCCGGCUCUGUAAGUUUUCGGUUAAAUCCAUGUGCUCAACGCAUGGGCUGCCGAAAAUACUGUAGAACUAGGGAGUGGGAGAGGUAGACGGUACUCGGUAGGAAGGGGUAAAAUCCUUUGAUCUAUCGAUGACCACCUGUGGCGAAGGCGGUCUACCAGAACACGUUCGACGGUGAGGGAUGAAAGCUGGGGGAGCAAACCGGAUUAGAUACCCGGGUAGUCCCAGCUGUAAACGAUGCAGACUCGAUGAUGCAAUGGCAUAGAGCUAUUGCAGUAUCGCAGGGAAGCCGUUAAGUCUGCCGCCUGGGAAGUACGUACGCAAGUAUGAAACUUAAAGGAAUUGGCGGGGGAGCACCACAAGGGGUGAAGCCUGCGGUUC